rnacentral:rRNA from 1 species
CGCUAGUAAUCGCGGAUCAGCAUGCCGCGGUGAAUACGUUCCCGGGCCUUGUACACACCGCCCGUCACACCAUGAGAGUCGGGAACACCCGAAGUCCGUAGCCUAACAGCAAUGGGGCGCGGCCGAAGGUGGGUUCGAUAAUUGGGGUGAAGUCGUAACAAGGUAGC